rnacentral:rRNA from 1 species
AGGGAGGGGAAAGGGUAUUUCCAAGGGGAAGGGAACGGGAAGGGUAAAAGAACGCAGUUAAUGAGGCUUGGGUUCGCAGGAGAUUGGUGAGGUAACGGCUCACAUGCAUAGCCGACCUGAGAGGGUGUCGCCCAUGGAAUGGACCGGCCAAUUCUAGGGAGCGCAUGGGAUUUGGCAUGGCGAAGUUGACGAGCAUGCGCGGAUGAGAAGUUUCGAUGUAAGUCUUUUUGGGAGACAGGUGAGGUAUUGUUAUCCUUGACGGUAUCUAACCAGAAAGCCACGGCUAACUACGUGCCAGCAGCCGCGGUAAUACGUAGGUGGCAAGCGUUGUCCGGAUUUAUUGGGCGUAAAGCGAGCGCAGGCGGUUUCUUAAGUUGAUUGAAGUCCCGGGUCAACGUGGAGGUCAUGGAAAUGGAGACUGAGUCAGAAGAGAGAGUGAAUUCCUGGGAGCGUGAAAUGGGAGAAUUGGAGGACACAGUGGGAAGGGGGUCUCUGGUCGUAAUGACGUUAGGCUGGAAGCGGGGGAGCCAACCGGAUUAGAUACCUGGGUGUUCACGCCGUUAACGAUGAUUGAUAAGUAUGGGAGGGCUUCCGCCCUUCAGUUCUGCAGCUAACGCAUUAAGCAGUCCGCCUGGGGAGUACGACCGCAAGGUUGAAACUCAAAGGAAUUGACGGGGGCCCGCACAAGCGGUGGAGCAUGUGGUUUAAUUCGAAGCAACGCGAAGAACCUUACCAGGUCUUGACAUCCUUUGACCAUUCCAGAGAUAGAGCUUCCCCUUCGGGGGCAAAGAGACAGGUGGUGCAUGGUGUCGUCAGCUCGUGUCGUGAGAUGUUGGGUUAAGUCCCGCAACGAGCGCAACCCUUAUCGUUAGUUGCCAUCAUUCAGGCGGGCAAUUCAGCAGGAAUGCCGAUGACUAACCGGAGGAAGGUGGGGAUGACGUCAAAUUAUCAUGCCCCUUAUGACGUAGGGUACACACCUGGUACAAUGGGAACUACAACGAGGAGGGAAGUUGGGAGGAUCAGGUAGUCUUUUUAAGCUUCUUUCAGUUCGGAUUGCAGGUUGCAAAUUGCAUUCCUGAAGCUGGAAUUGGUUGUUAUCGCGGAUUAGCACGGCGCGGUGAAUACGUUUCCGGGCCUUGUACACCCUGCCCGUCACACCACGAGAGUUGGAACACCAGGAGUCGGUGAGGUAACCUUUUGGAGCCAGCUGCCUAAGGUGGUGAUCAUGAUGGGUGACGUCGUUGCUCUAGGUAAC